rnacentral:miRNA from 1 species
CUGGGUUGGUUUUUCUCUUUGGUUAUCUAGCUGUAUGAGUGUAUGUGAUAUCAUAAAGCUAGAGAACCGAAUGUAAAAAC